rnacentral:lncRNA from 1 species
CUCGAUCCCAUAACGCCGGGAUCACGCCCUGAGCCGAAGGCAGGCGCUUAACCGCUGUGCCACCCAGGCGCCCCUAAUAAAUUAAUUUUUAUUCGGAUUCUGUCCAUUUAAUUUUUGUUACAUGCUUCUCAACCAUGCUCGUUCCUCAUUGCUUUUAGGCAUAGAACUUCCUAAAUAAUUAGCCUGAGCAAGAACACGUUGGUAUUAGCAGCUGUAACACAUUGCAUUUCUGGCAGUGGAAUUCUGCAGACAGACUCUGAGUCCUCGCACCGUGUCCCUGAACAAAGAAGCCUUGCUUCUGAGCAUGUGCGUCUCGACAAGGACCUUCAAGUCUUGUUCUUAGUAGACCAGCAUCUUUUCUAUCUCUGUACGUUGGGAAUUAUCAGUCGGGUGUCACCGGGAUGAAGUUGUGGCCAGGAACUUAAAACCUUAAGAGGAGACUAAGGUUGGGGGCCUUCAGUUGGAGCUGUGUCCGUGACAGUUGUUGCAUUUGCUGACCGAAAGC